AGUGUGUUGUUGUUUUUUUUAUUGUCAGUAACAAUUAGCCUAAUGCUGUUCAUUUACAUGUUAGGCAUUUUUAGCAAACGUUAGCUACGCAGCUGGCAGAGGUAGCAAUUAGCUGUCGAAGCUCUAUUGCUGAACUCUAUCAGUCACAACACAAUUCGGAUAAACUUCAAUUGUAUUACUUCCAUACAGUUACAUCCUGCAUUUGUCUGUUUUUGUGGUAAAAUUGGAGAGAUGAAGCCCCCAGAAGAUGCAGAGAGGGGCAUGUUUGAGCUACUGUUUGUCCACGGAGGCCACACAGCCAAGAUCUCUGAUUUCCCCUAGAACCCCAACAAACAUUGGAUCAUUGCUUGGUGACUGAAGACAACAUUAUGCAAGCCUGGCAAACAUUAAGAACUUAGACCGCAUUUUACUCUAGCAUAUUAGCCAUGGACAGCCAGAGAACACGAGUUCUUUGGACUAUAUUGUCUUAGAUGGAAUUAUUUGCCCUCAAAGACAACAUAUAAGAUUUUCAGCAGUAUAUAAAAAAAAAUUAAGUAACAGACAACAGGCAACUGUUGUCAGGAGCCCAUGUCUCUAGUGAAAAUCUGUAACAUGAAUUGGAGCAGGCAGCAAUGCAGGGAAAAGUGUGAUGGGAGGUUCCUCUUCAGCUAAUGACUCAGUCAAGAUAGAGUUCUUUUUGGUUUGGGAUUUAACAUUUAGAGCGAUUCAGUCAGGGCCAAAUGACAACAUGGAAGAGAGAAAUGGUGAGUAUGGUAAAUGUGUGUUUCUACUUUUAUUUGUACUACUAAAAGUAUAUUUUGUGUCACACUCAGCUGUCUUUAAUGUCAGAAAAGCUACCAGUUAAGCAUAUAGUAGUUUUUAGGCAAAAUUUGGCUCUUCAAAAGCCUCAGAGUUGAUCUUCACCUGGUUGUUCUUGAAUACAUACUGUAUAUACAGCAAUCAAAUUGGCUUUUGAAGUAUUUUAAUUAAUGCUUUUUUUUUUUUUAAAUAAAAUGUUUUUCUGGAACAUAAGGUGACAAUCAUACUGACAGUCCAAAUGCUACAUCACAAUAACUUGUUAAAUAGUGUAUACAGUGCCCUCCACACAUGUUGAAAGUGUUGUAGAGAAGUAAUUAAGUAAAAAUGCUGUUCAAUUCUUUAACAUAAUGCAUGCCAUGGUAAUUGCUUCAGCUUGGUCUCCAUGUGAUUGUUCUGAAUGUUGAUUUCCACUCCUUCUCUUUCUGUAUGGAAAUGGAAUUUCAUAGUGAAUCUGUUUUGAAUUGGCCGUUUGUGGUCCCACUUCCCCUCACCACAUUAAUGCAAAUUAGUCAUUGAAAUGUUGUCACUCUGAUACACAGUAGAUUUGUAGUUCAAUAUUUUGUAUGGUGAGUGCACUCCUAAUAAAAAGUCUUCCAUCA